rnacentral:rRNA from 1 species
GAGUUUGAUCCUGGCUCAGAUUGAACGCUGGCGGCAGGCCUAACACAUGCAAGUCGAACGUGAUCCAGAGCUUGCUCUGGUGAAAGUGGCGCACGGGUGAGUAACGCGUGGAUAACCUACCCUGGUAUCCGGGAUAACAUUCCGAAAGGGGUGCUAAUACCGGAUAAGCCCACGGGCUCUUUGGAGCUUGCGGGAAAAGGUGGCCUCUAUUUAUAAGCUACUGUAUCAGGAUGGGUCCGCGUACCAUUAGCUAGUUGGCGGUGUAACGGACCACCAAGGCGACGAUGGUUAGCUGGUCUGAGAGGAUGAUCAGUCACACUGGAACUGAGACACGGUCCAGACUCCUACGGGAGGCAGCAGUGGGGAAUUUUGCGCAAUGGGGGAAACCCUGACGCAGCAACGCCGCGUGAGUGAUGAAGGCCUUUGGGUCGUAAAGCUCUGUCAGAGGGGAAGAAAUGAUAUAGUGCUAAUACCACUUUAUCUUGACGGUACCCUCAAAGGAAGCACCGGCUAACUCCGUGCCAGCAGCCGCGGUAAUAC